rnacentral:rRNA from 1 species
GACGAACGCUGGCGGCGUGCUUAACACAUGCAAGUCGAACGGAAAGGCCCGGCUUUUGUUGGUUGCUCGAUUGGCGAACGGGUGUGUAACACGUGAGUAACCUGCCCUUAACUGUGUGAUAACUUCAGGGGACUGGGGCUAAUACCGGGUAGGAGCUCCUGCUGCAUGUGGGUGGUUGGAAAGAUUCGGUGGUUGUGUAUGGACUCGAUGGUUAUCAGCUUGUUGGGGUAGUAGUGGCUGACGAAGGGUUUGACGGGUAGCCGGCAUGGGAGGGUGACCGGCCACAUUGGGCCUGAGAUACGGACCAGAAUCCUACGGGCGGCAGUAGUGGGGAACAUUGCACAAUGGGGCGACGCGUGAUGCAGAAACGCCGGGUGCGGGAUGCCGGGCUUCGGGUUGUAAACAAAUUUCGAAUGUGAUGAAGAGGGCGUGACGGUAAUGGGUAAAGAAGCCCCGGCUAACUACGUG